ACGUAGGGUGCGAGCGUUAAUCGGAAUUACCGGGCGUAAAGCGUGCGCAGGCGGUUCGCUAAGACAGGUGUGAAAUCCCCGGGCUUAACCUGGGAACUGCGUUUGUGACUGCAUCACUCGAGUACGGCAGAGGGAGGUGGAAUUCCGCGUGUAGCAGUGAAAUGCGUAGAUAUGCGGAGGAACACCGAUGGCGAAGGCAAUCCCCUGGGCCUGCACUGACGCUCAUGCACGAAAGCGUGGGGAGCAAACAG
rnacentral:rRNA from 1 species